rnacentral:rRNA from 1 species
GAUGAACGCUAGCUACAGGCUUAACACAUGCAAGUCGAGGGGCAGCGGGAUUGAAGCUUGCUUCAAUUGCCGGCGACCGGCGCACGGGUGAGUAACGCGUAUCCAACCUUCCGUACACUCAGGGAUAGCCUUUCGAAAGAAAGAUUAAUACCUGAUGGUAUCUUAAGCACACAUGUAAUUAAGAUUAAAGAUUUAUCGGUGUACGAUGGGGAUGCGUUCCAUUAGGUAGUAGGCGGGGUAACGGCCCACCUAGCCAACGAUGGAUAGGGGUUCUGAGAGGAAGGUCCCCCACAUUGGAACUGAGACACGGUCCAAACUCCUACGGGAGGCAGCAGUGAGGAAUAUUGGUCAAUGGACGAGAGUCUGAACCAGCCAAGUAGCGUGAAGGAUGAAGGUCCUACGGAUUGUAAACUUCUUUUAUACGGGAAUAAAGUAUCCUACGUGUAGGAUUUUGUAUGUACCGUAUGAAUAAGCAUCGGCUAACUCCGUGCCAGCAG